CACCUAGCAACUGGUCCUUGCAGCUGCCAGACUACACAAUGGGAGGUUGGGGGAAUGGGAAUACGCACAACAGUCAAAGCCAUGAGUUAUGGGAAGGAAGCACGUGAAGAAGGGAAGGAACAGCUAUUCUGAUGAAAACUGGAGCCAUAGAAAGAUGUCUCUGCUGCACUGUUGAAUCUACUGAAAGAGAUAUGACCUUGAGGCAACAGCAAUCAAACAACCUGUCAACUAAUACUACGGCUGUCAGUGAUAUAAUUACUUCUCUACAUUGCAACAUAUCUAACAAACCAACACCUUAUGCUCACUCAUCACAUGGGAAAAAUUAGACCAUGCCCAAAUUCAACAGACAAGCUAGAAUAAAAAUCAAUAAGUUAACAUUAA